AGUAGGGAAUCUUGCGCAAUGGGCGAAAGCCUGACGCAGCGACGCCGCGUGCGGGAAGAAGGCCUUCGGGUUGUAAACCGCUUUCAGGAGGGACGAAGCCACUCGGGUUAAUAGCCCAGAGGGUGACGGUACCUCCAGAAGAAGCCCCGGCUAACUACGUGCCAGCAGCCGCGGUAAUACGUAGGGGGCAAGCGUUGUCCGGAUUCAUUGGGCGUAAAGAGCGUGUAGGCGGCCAGGUAGGUCCGUUGUGAAAACUCGAGGCUCAACCUCGAGACGUCGAUGGAAACCAUCUGGCUAGAGUCCGGAAGAGGAGAGUGGAAUUCCUGGUGUAGCGGUGAAAUGCGCAGAUAUCAGGAAGAACACCUAUGGCGAAGGCAGCUCUCUGGGACGGUACUGACGCUGAGACGCGAAAGCGUGGGGAGCGAA
rnacentral:rRNA from 1 species